rnacentral:rRNA from 1 species
GGCCCACCAAGGCGACGAUCAGUAGGGGUUCUGAGAGGAAGGUCCCCCACAUUGGAACUGAGACACGGUCCAAACUCCUACGGGAGGCAGCAGUGAGGAAUAUUGGUCAAUGGGCGAGAGCCUGAACCAGCCAAGUAGCGUGCAGGAUGACGGCCCUAUGGGCUGUAAACUGCUUUUAUAAGGGAAUAAAGUGAGUCUCGUGAGACUUUUUGCAUGUACCUUAUGAAUAAGGACCGGCUAAUUCCGUGCCAGCAGCCGCGGUAAUACGGAAGGUCCGGGCGUUAUCCGGAUUUAUUGGGUUUAAAGGGAGCGUAGGCCGGAGAUUAAGCGUGUUGUGAAAUGUAGACGCUCAACGUCUGCACUGCAGCGCGAACUGGUUUCCUUGAGUACGCACAAAGUGGGCGGAAUUCGUGGUGUAGCGGUGAAAUGCUUAGAUAUCACGAAGAACUCCGAUUGCGAAGGCAGCUCACUGGAGCGCAACUGACGCUGAAGCUCGAAAGUGCGGGUAUCGAA